rnacentral:rRNA from 1 species
CCUACGGGGGGCAGCAGUGAGGAAUAUUGGUCAAUGGACGAGAGUCUGAACCAGCCAAGUAGCGUGAAGGAUGACUGCCCUAUGGGUUGUAAACUUCUUUUAUAUGGGAAUAAAACGUUCCACGUGUGGGAUUUUGUAUGUACCAUAUGAAUAAGGAUCGGCUAACUCCGUGCCAGCAGCCGCGGUAAUACGGAGGAUCCGAGCGUUAUCCGGAUUUAUUGGGUUUAAAGGGAGCGUAGGUGGAUUGUUAAGUCAGUUGUGAAAGUUUGCGGCUCAACCGUAAAAUUGCAGUUGAUACUGGCAGUCUUGAGUACAGUAGAGGUGGGCGGAAUUCGUGGUGUAGCGGUGAAAUGCUUAGAUAUCACGAAGAACUCCGAUUGCGAAGGCAGUUCACUGGACUGCAACUGACACUGAGGCUCGAAAGUGUGGGUAUCAAACAGGAUUAGAUACCCGAGUAGUC